GGCCAUAUCACAUUGAAACACUGAUUCUCAUAUGAUCACCAAAGUUAAGCAAUGUAGACUCUGGUCAGUACUUAGAUGCCUGACUGCUUGAGAAUACCAAGUGCUGUAUG